UGCGGGUGAGGAUGUGUGCUCCU
rnacentral:miRNA from 1 species